UUUUAAUCUGUAAUCCUUGAAUGGAUGCCAAUCCUGGACCAAUUGAUGGCUCUGUUCUGUAUGAUCAAGACAAGCAUGUCUCUGCUGCUGUUUGGGAUGGCCAGGAACGUGGUGCCCUUAGAUGCCAUGAGCAUACCUCCAAGCUAGGUGAAUGGAAGCUAACUCCAAAACAGAUAGAGUUGGUGGAGAAAGCUGGAUUUGGGUACUUGAGAAAGAUUCCUGCUAUUAGUCUAGAUAAUCCUCUUAUCUCAGCACUAGUUGAGAGGUGGAGAAGAGAAACAAAUACAUUUCACUUUACUGUUGGUGAAAUGACAGUGAAUCUUCAAGAUGUUGCAUUAUUGCUUGGAUUAGCUAUUGAUGGGAAGCCUGUUAUUGGGAUAACACAUACAACAUGUAGCUCUGUUUGUGAAAGGCUUCUAGGGAAAGCACCAGAUUCAAACUAUGCGAGUGGUGGGAUGGUGAAGCUAAGUUGGCUGAAGGAAUUCUUUUCUCAAUGUCCUGAAGAUGCUCCAAGUGAAGAGGUUGAGCGCUGCACGCGUGCUUAUCUUCUGUACCUUGUGGGAAGUACAAUAUUCUCCACGACCACUGGGAAUAAAGUUCCUGUUAUGUACCUUCCAUUGUUUGAAAGUUUUGAAGAAGCUGGGAACUAUGCCUGGGGCGCAGCAGCAUUAGCCUUCCUGUACAGAGCACUUGGCAAUGCUUGUGUUAAAUCUCAAAGUACCAUCUGUGGCUGUUUAACCUUGCUACAGUGUUGGAGUUACUUUCAUCUGAAUAUCGGUCGACCAAAGCUCAAUCGGGAUCCUAUUCAUGAUCAUUUUCCAUUUGUGCUUAGGUGGAAGGGGAAACAAAGUGGGCCAACAACAAACCGAGAUGUGGUAUUUUACCGCAAGGCAUUGGAUUCAUUGAAACCAAUUGAUGUGGAGUGGCUUCCAUACAAAUAUAUGGACAGUACAGUAAUACCAGAAGACAUUAGAGAUACUUUGAUCUUGGGAAGAUCAAAGACGAUGCUUAUAUGCUUUGACAAGGCAGAGAGGCACCUCCCUGACCGCUGCCUAAGGCAAUACAGCAUGCUUCAACCAAUCCCUGAAGAUGUGGUGCGAUGGGUCAGAAAGAGUAGAGGAGUUGAUGGUGGGGUAGACUUGUCUGGGAAAAUGGAGUCCGAACUUAAUGAAUGGUUGGACCGUCGACUCCAUAUUGUGGAUGGUGAUGAUGGUGUAGAUGAAAGUGAAUACAUGCAAUGGUACUUGAAAAUUACCCGUAAAGUUGUAGGGAGGCCUAUAUCUUUAUCAUCUGAAUUCCAAAGAACGAUAUCUGGUUUAAGAGAAAUUGCCUACUUAGCAGAUACAUUCUCGACAAAAGGGUUGGAUGGGCAACAAUUUGAGUCGAUUACAAGAAUUAGGUUUAUUGCACAGGACUGUUUGAGGGACCAGGCUGGAAGUCCAGUCACACCAUCAGAUGGCACCCCUAUAGAACUUGGGAAAAGGACAAGAGGGAAGGAGCGUGUAAGAAGAAAGGGUACCAUGAAACGUAGGAGAAAGGAUGAUCCCAUGGAUUAUGAAGCUAGCGAGGAUGACCAAUCUCAGUUUUACAGUGCAGUUAUUGAGGUUGAUCAAUUGCAUUUACCUCAGGCAGAGGACGAAGUUGUUCAAUUAGAGUUACAUCAGGAAGAUGAUGAGGUUGAUCCACAACAAAUGUGUCUUACACCUGGUGAGGGCAAUAGUACAGAGCUGCAUGUUGUGGUGAACAAGGUUGAUCAUUCACAUCUCAACAAUGCAACUCAUGGCAAUGACAUUAAUAACUCUCAUCCUUGUGAUUCUACUAAUGUCAUCGAGGACUCACAAGUCUGUGAUGCCACAACUAUAGGGGUUGAUGAUUCUGAGACUUGUGGUCAAACUAAUAAGGUUUAUGACUCACAGCUUUGUGAGACAACUGAUGAGGUUCAUGACUCUAAGCCUUGUGAGGCAACGACAAAGGUCGAUGAUGAACAACUGCAUGAUGCUACAAUUGACAAAGUGAAUGGCACAGAGCUCUCUGAUGCAACUGAAAAGGCAAACAACUCACAGCUCCCUGAUGCAAUUAAAGAGGUAAAGGACCAAUUUGAUGCAACUAAAGACACAGCAGGCCAAUCUGAUGCAACUAAAGAGGCAAAGGACUUGGAGCUCCCUGAUGCAACUGAAGAGACCAAUGAUUCACAUCUUUUUGAUGCAACUAAAGAGGGUAAUGGCUUACAGCUCCCUGAUGCAUCCAGGAGAGGGAAGGGCUUGCUGCUUCCUGAUGCUACCAAAGAGGAGAAGGGCUCACAACUUCCUGAUUCAACUAAAGCAGAGAAGGACUCAAAACUUCCUAAUUCAACUGAGGAGGAGGACUUGCUGCUUCCAGAUGCAACUAAAGAGGGGAAGGGCUCUCAGCUUCCUGAUUCAACUAAAGCAGAAAAGGACUCAAAACUUCCUAAUUCAACUGAGGAGGAGGACUUGCUGCUUCCAGAUGCAACUAAAGAGGGGAAGGGCUCUCAG
rnacentral:misc_RNA from 1 species